AAGCAUAAAGAAGCAGAAAUGAAAAAAACAGAGCGGUAACUCAUGAGACGACUGGCCGGGUCAUUACACUUUCACACCAGAUGUAGCACAUGCUGGCGUUAUUGGUGAGAUUGCAGAUGCGGCGGCAGGGGAGUCGGAGGAAGAAUCUGAGAAACAAAAAGUUCCUGAAUCCUGGACUGGUGUUGUUUGUGCAACUGCAAGUGUUGAUGCGGCGGCAGGGGAGACGGAGGAAGAAUCUGAGAAACAAAAGGUUCCUGAAUCUCGAACUGGUGCUGUUUGUGCGACUGCCAGUGUUGAUGAGGCGGCAGGGGAGAUGGUUUUGUACAAUCCUGAAUUACUUCUUGAAGUAUCGCAGCAAAUGGAAAAAGAAAGAGAUGUCCUGCAAAGGUCGUGCAGUCUCCGUUCAUUACUGUAUUUGAUUCAGGUUCCAGUACUACUGUUGUUGCAGUGAAAGGAAAAAAGCAAAUUUAUGCUAUUAAGCAUCCUUUUCAAAGCAAAAUUGGAACUGGCGUUAACAGCUCUUUGUUGAAUGUAUUUGCUGCGUGGGUCAAAGAAGGGAAGUCCAAAAAAAAGAAUGAAAUUUACCCGAAGCAUGUUAGUGAACUUAAUCAUGCUUAUGAUCUUGGUGUAUAUCAUGUUGAAAACAAAAAAUGGUUUUACACUUUGGCAUAUAAUGGUCAGCCCUUGGAUGACUCGCACAUUGAUGUUUUGUUCUAUUAUCUGAGGAAGAAGGGGAAGUAUGACAAAGACCUACCUGUAACAUUCACCACCACAGAUUGGUACUUUGACGAGAAAAUUAAUGAGUUGUGGUAGGCGUUUAUUGAUACAGAUGGAGACAGUGAUAUGUGCACUCCGAAACAUGUCAUUGCAGAGUAUACUCAGGGGUUUGUCUUGGAUGCCAAUGUUCCAUGGCACACUGUCGAGCAUGUCUUAAUGUUAAUUAAUGUUGCAGAACAAUGGCAAUGGAUAAUGGUUGUGAUGUCCUUCAAGGAUAGGUGCAUUUAUGUGUAUGACUCUAUGCACGGUGGAGCUUCUCAUCAAGCCAAAGUUCAUAAGACCAUGGUCAAGUAUUCUGUGUUGCUGCCUCAUUUUUUCGUGCACACACAUUUCUAUUUAAACAAAAAAGAUAUCAAUUGGCGCACUAGUGUCUACAAAUCAAAAGACUUAGAUUACCCCCUUUGAUGUAAACUGGUCGAAGGAUUGCCUCAACAAGGCGAAGGAUUGCCUCAACAAGUCGAAGCUGAUUGCGGUGUAUUUGCGACAUCAUUUGCCGAGUAUUUCAUUGAGGGCAAGAUGCCUCCUUAAAAAUUCCAUGCCUAUGCACACCGGCGUGGUGCUCUCUUGUGGGAUUAUGCUAGAAAGAAGAUGGAACUGAACACGCAAAGUGAUGAUGAGAUUAUUGGUCGACAGAAUAAGUCGCGGAAGCAAAAGUAGUUACUUUUGUCAUUAUUGUAGGAUGAACUCUAUAAUUUUAUUUUUGUAUUGUGUUCUGUUAUGUUGUCAUUGUUGUAAGACAGAUCA